CGUUCUGUAAGCCUGUGAAGGUGUGCUGUGAGGCAUGCUGGAGGUAUCAGAAGUGCGAAUGCUGACAUAAGUAACGAUAAAGCGGGUGAAAAGCCCGCUCGCCGGAAGACCAAGGGUUCCUGUCCAACGUUAAUCGGGGCAGGGUGAGUCGACCCCUAAGGCGAGGCCGAAAGGCGUAGUCGAUGGGAAACAGGUUAAUAUUCCUGUACUUGGUGUUACUGCGAAGGGGGGACGGAGAAGGCUAUGUUGGCCGGGCGACGGUUGUCCCGGUUUAAGCGUGUAGGCUGGUUUUCCAGGCAAAUCCGGAAAAUCAAGGCUGAGGCGUGAUGACGAGGCACUACGGUGCUGAAGCAACAAAUGCCCUGCUUCCAGGAAAAGCCUCUAAGCAUCAGGUAACAUCAAAUCGUACCCCAAACCGACACAGGUGGUCAGGUAGAGAAUACCAAGGCGCUUGAGAGAACUCGGGUGAAGGAACUAGGCAAAAUGGUGCCGUAACUUCGGGAGAAGGCACGCUGAUAUGUAGGUGAAGUCCCUCGCGGAUGGAGCUGAAAUCAGUCGAAGAUACCAGCUGGCUGCAACUGUUUAUUAAAAACACAGCACUGUGCAAACACGAAAGUGGACGUAUACGGUGUGACGCCUGCCCGGUGCCGGAAGGUUAAUUGAUGGGGUCAGCGCAAGCGAAGCUCUUGAUCGAAGCCCCGGUAAACGGCGGCCGUAACUAUAACGGUCCUAAGGUAGCGAAAUUCCUUGUCGGGUAAGUUCCGACCUGCACGAAUGGCGUAAUGAUGGCCAGGCUGUCUCCACCCGAGACUCAGUGAAAUUGAACUCGCUGUGAAGAUGCAGUGUACCCGCGGCAAGACGGAAAGACCCCGUGAACCUUUACUAUAGCUUGACACUGAACAUUGAGCCUUGAUGUGUAGGAUAGGUGGGAGGCUUAGAAGUGUGGACGCCAGUCUGCAUGGAGCCGACCUUGAAAUACCACCCUUUAAUGUUUGAUGUUCUAACGUUGACCCGUAAUCCGGGUUGCGGACAGUGUCUGGUGGGUAGUUUGACUGGGGCGGUCUCCUCCUAAAGAGUAACGGAGGAGCACGAAGGUUGGCUAAUCCUGGUCGGACAUCAGGAGGUUAGUGCAAUGGCAUAAGCCAGCUUGACUGCGAGCGUGACGGCGCGAGCAGGUGCGAAAGCAGGUCAUAGUGAUCCGGUGGUUCUGAAUGGAAGGGCCAUCGCUCAACGGAUAAAAGGUACUCCGGGGAUAACAGGCUGAUACCGCCCAAGAGUUCAUAUCGACGGCGGUGUUUGGCACCUCGAUGUCGGCUCAUCACAUCCUGGGGCUGAAGUAGGUCCCAAGGGUAUGGCUGUUCGCCAUUUAAAGUGGUACGCGAGCUGGGUUUAGAACGUCGUGAGACAGUUCGGUCCCUAUCUGCCGUGGGCGCUGGAGAACUGAGGGGGGCUGCUCCUAGUACGAGAGGACCGGAGUGGACGCAUCACUGGUGUUCGGGUUGUCAUGCCAAUGGCACUGCCCGGUAGCUAAAUGCGGAAGAGAUAAGUGCUGAAA
rnacentral:rRNA from 1 species